rnacentral:lncRNA from 1 species
AUUUCCUUCGUGCCUUCAAUCAGUCACUGAAUGCUUUGAGGGAACGUUUCAAUAGGCAUCCCGCUUUCGUAUGAAAGGUGUUGGAAAGUCCUACCACUUCAGCAGUGAGGCCAUGGUGGUGACCAUCUGGACUCUUAUCUCUUCGUCCUCUAUGAUCGGGUCUUAGACUUUUCUGGAGGACUUUUUUCUUCUUUCACCCAGUGUAGCCUUCCGGCCCUCUUUAGAGGUGCAUCGUUAAGUCG